rnacentral:rRNA from 1 species
UACGUAGGCAGCGAGCGUUGUUCGGAGUUACUGGGCGUAAAGCGUGCGUAGGCGGUCUUGUAAGUCUGUUGUGAAAUCUCCCGGCUUAACUGGGAGGGUGCGGUGGAAACUGCAAGGCUGGAGUAUGGGAGAGGUAGGCGGAAUUCCUGGUGUAGCGGUGAAAUGCGUAGAUAUCAGGAGGAACACCUGUGGUGUAGACGGCUUACUGGACCAUGACUGACGCUGAGGCACGAAAGCGUGGGGAGCAAACAGG